CAGUCGAACGAAGCACUUUACUUUGAUUCCUUCGGGUUGAUUAGUACUGUGACUGAGUGGUGGACGGGUGAGUAACGCGUGGGUAACCUGCCCCAUACAGGGGGAUAACAGAUAGAAAUGUCUGCUAAUACCGCAUAAGACCACAGCACCGCAUGGUGCAGGGGUAAAAACUCCGGUGGUAUGGGAUGGACCCGCGUCUGAUUAGCUGGUUGGUGAGGUAAAGGCUCACCAAGGCAACGAUCAGUAGCCGACCUGAGAGGGUGACCGGCCACAUUGGGACUGAGACACGGCCCAAACUCCUACGGGAGGCAGCAGUGGGGAAUAUUGCACAAUGGGGGAAACCCUGAUGCAGCGACGCCGCGUGAAGGAUGAAGUAUUUCGGUAUGUAAACUUCUAUCAGCAGGGAAGAAAAUGACGGUACCUGACUAAGAAGCCCCGGCUAACUACGUGCCAGCAGCCGCGGUAAUACGUAGGGGGCAAGCGUUAUCCGGAUUUACUGGGUGUAAAGGGAGCGUAGACGGUAUGGCAAGUCUGAUGUGAAAACCCGGGGCUCAACCCCGGGACUGCAUUGGAAACUGUCGGACUAGAGUGUCGGAGAGGCAAGUGGAAUUCCUAGUGUAGCGGUGAAAUGCGUAGAUAUUAGGAGGAACACCAGUGGCGAAGGCGGCUUGCUGGACGAUGACUGACGUUGAGGCUCGAAAGCGUGGGGAGCAAACAGGAUUAGAUACCCUGGUAGUCCACACUGUAAACGAUGAUAACUAGGUGUGGGGGGUCUGACCCCUUCCGUGCCGCAGCUAACGCAAUAAGUUAUCCACCUGGGGAGUA
rnacentral:rRNA from 1 species